AUGAGCCUCCAGUCCGAAAGGACAGCCGACAUGAGCCUCCAGUCCCGCCCGAGACCACGAAAGCCAACCACGCCGAGGUUGCAUCAGUAUACGACUCCCCGGAGGCUUCACGCGAAUUCGACCGUGAACAUGAGCCUCUAAACACGCCAGAGACCGUCGAGCCACACGUCCUCGAUGGACGAGAUGAGACUCCAGUCACGCCCGAGACUGUCCCUCAUGGCCGACAUCAGCCUCCAGU
rnacentral:misc_RNA from 1 species